CAAUGGACCUAAUCAGUUAAUGCAACGCUAGG
rnacentral:rRNA from 1 species